CUCUCUCUCUCUCUCAUCUAUGUCUCUCUCUGUGUGUGUUCUUGGUGGAGGAGGAUGGAGAAGAAGCUUGACGGAGUUUGAAGGCGGAUGAGUCGUGAGUAUGCUGUCUGUGGAGAAAUUGUUAACAUUGCUCAGGUAAAAGCAAGCAACUUUGUCCUAAGUUGAUUGAAAUUGUUAACAUUGCUCAGGUCUUGGCCAGCAGCCGAUAACUUUUUUCAGAGAGAUUCUUACUUUGUGUUCCCACACGGCUUUGUUGGAGGAGAAUGCAACUUCUCAUAAGUUCAGAGAAAGAUGGAAUCCUCUGUCUUAUUCCUCAUACCCAUUGUACUCAGUUUCCAUUGCCCUUCAUGGCGGAAGUCUGGUUACAAGAGACAUGAAGUGUUUGGUUUCAGACAGCAUAUUUUGUAGGGGUUCAAAUGGAAGCAAGUUGCAAAGAUAGUGAAAGUAAAGAGUAGAGACCGGAGACAAGGCAACUGAGUGUGGUGGGUGCUGUUAGAGUUGCGGUCAGAAGCUCUUUCAUGGUGACUUGCUGAUAAUACUAUAUGAAGUGAAAUCAACUGUAUAAACCAUUGUACAUGAGUAUAAGGUCUUUUGUUGAGCUGAUCAUUAAAACGUUGUAUGUGGGACGUAGAUACAACAUGAGAAGAAGUGAAAUCAAAUGAGAUCUUUUUAGUUUUCGUUACCAAA